CAAGUCGAACGAGAAAGUGGAGCAAUCCAUGAGUAAAGUGGCGCACGGGUGAGUAACACGUGACUAACCUACCCUUGAGUGGGGAAUAACUUCGGGAAACCGAGGCUAAUACCGCAUAACACCUACGGGUCAAAGGAGCAAUUCGCUUAAGGAGGGGGUCGCGGCAGAUUAGUUAGUUGGCGGGGUAAUGGCCCACCAAGACGGUGAUCUGUAUCCGGCCUGAGAGGGCGCACGGACACACUGGAACUGAAACACGGUCCAGACUCCUACGGGAGGCAGCAGUGGGGAAUUUUGCGCAAUGGGGGAAACCCUGACGCAGCAACGCCGCGUGGAGGAUGAAGUCCCUUGGGACGUAAACUCCUUUCGAUCGGGACGAUUAUGACGGUACCGGAAGAAGAAGCCCCGGCUAACUUCGUGCCAGCAGCCGCGGUAAUACGAGGGGGGCGAGCGUUGUUCGGAAUUAUUGGGCGUAAAGGGCGCGUAGGCGGUUGGAUAAGUCUCGUGUGAAAUCUUCGGGCUCAACUCGAAGUCUGCACGAGAAACUAUCUGGCUUGAGUGUGGGAGAGGUGAAGUGGAAUUCCUGGUGUAGCGGUGAAAUGCGUAGAUAUCAGGAGGAACACCUGUGGCGAAAGCGGCUCACUGGACCACAACUGACGCUGAGGCGCGAAAGCUAGGGGAGCAAACAGGAUUAGAUACCCUGGUAGUCCUAGCCCUAAACGAUGAUCGCUUGGUGUGACGGGUACCCAAUCCCGCCGUGCCGAAGCUAACGCGUUAAGCGAUCCGCCUGGGGAGUACGGUCGCAAGGCUGAAACUCAAAGGAAUU
rnacentral:rRNA from 1 species